CCAGCCUGUGCCCGGUGCCUGAGCAGCUCUGCGCGGAGAUCUGGGCCGGGAACUGCAAAGCAGCUGAGCAGAUUUCUGCAGGAUAAGGUCUCUGGAGAAGACAAAGACACAGAGCCAGUGCUGUGGAAUAGCGUGGAGGGAGAGAGACAGGAUGCAGAAGGCUGGAAAACGCCGUCUAAAUUGUGUGCUCAGCUUAUCGAUGAAGGCAGAAUGGAGAGAACGGCUUUCCGAAGACGGGAGGUGAAAUGAAUGCCGUUUGUCACUGGUGCCAGGGAUGAGGUGUUACGGCACUGACCAGAAGGAGAUACCCCCAGCCAGUAUCUGCCUUCUCCUUCACUCCUCACCCCUCCACGCGCACUUCUGCUUUCAGCACUCUGAGGCAAUUCCCUGUAACGAGCCCCACAGACGAUACAGGUCAUCCUGCAGCCCCCCUUCCCGUAGUCCCUGUUCUUGGAAUGGGCGAUGCCGCUUUGAUUAAAGUGCCAAACGAUUCUCGCUCACAUCACGAUGAAAUGCGACCACUGCUCGCCAUGGAACGGGACGUUUUUGUCACCUCUCCGCUCUCUUCUCUAAUAGCAAUAUCUAUCUGCUGCAUGCUAGAUAAUGUGAAUGUCUAUUCACGUUUCAGUUAUGGUGCGAUGACUCGCGCUUGACACAUCUCAUUAUGUCAUAGAUCAUCCGGCCUAAAAUUUACAUAGGCUUGGAUUAAAAGCCAUUAGGGAGAAGUCUUCCACUCCAUGCUGUUUCAGGGAUGUCGAAGCAAACACAGAACUGGCUGGAGAGAGACUGCAAAAAUGAGGCUGGCUUAACCGGGGCGAACAAAUGGCUUCAGACAGGUCUGUAGAUCAGCUCAUUUAGAUGGCAAAACCAGACAAGCGUUCAGGCUCAAGAGCUUGCCUUCAGGAAUGAAAGUGAAGCAAACUUCGAGGUCAGUAAAGGCUUGGAACCGUUGCCCUGAAUUACUCAUUUUCAGAGGCAAUAUGAGAUAAAAGCAAGGCAGACACCUGAGGAACAGAGGAGGGUGUCAGCGAGAUGAGAGGCGGUAGGGUCGUUUCCCUGCGGGACAGAGGGAGGGGAAGCAGUUACCUCUUAGGGAAACGCAGCGUUCGCUGUAGAAAGCUGUAGGGAAUUGACUCUGUAAUUUUCAGUAUCCGGUGUGGUUAUGAAUUUUUGUUCUUUAAAGGUAUUUUGUAGGUCUCCUGAGAAUGACAAGGCAGAAGCUGGCAAUGGGGUGGCUGUCACUCGGGAAAGGUUUGCCCCUGGGUAAGCAGGAGCUGCUGCCCUUCCCCGGCUGGCGGUACGAACUCGUUCGGGGACACGGCGGUUGACGGCUCUGACGAGGUUUUGGUGGAGACUUCUGGUGCAGCGGAUAAGAGAUGCUACGCGCCGAGGCUGCGUACGCCUAGGACACGGGUUUGUUGGCCGCGGGGCUCGCUGUGGUGGCCGCGGAGUUAUGUUGGCAAGCACGCGCCAAGGCAUGGUGUAGGUUCAUCCAACGUGUAUUGACCAGCCAUGUCCUGACCUCAUCCAUAGGUAGUACGUGAUGAUGAUCACUGUCACAGCCGUACGGUUUUCCGUGGGUUCAGAGGAAGGUAAAUUCAUCUCUGACACACAACAGCUUUUAAAAUUCAUAUUGAGAAAGGUGUUUCAGCCUUUUUUCAUUCCAUUGUUCGUAAUCCGUUGCGAUUUAUUCUAUAAACUUACUGGGAUUCUGCAGUCCAUCAAGAGGCACGGGAGUGAUGUCUGCUGCUCCCAGCAAUAACAGCCAACCCGUGGCUAAGCUUUCCUCGACUCAAACCGUGUGAUGUGAAAGCAUUCAUUGAACUGAGAUGUCUCCGUUUGAGGUCUUCAGUACCUUUGUGUCAUGAUGUGCGCGUUAAUGGCACCAAAUUAAAGCACCGCCUAAACAAGAAUUUGUGCUGCUGAUGGUUAAUUGUUCUCCAGUUGCCGCAGCUUUUUAGUCGUCUGUAUUUGUCUCAGAGUAGCCACGUAUUUAUUCUCUUUCUAGGGAACCAGCAGACCUGCUUAAUUAUUCCAUUGCUGUACAGAUAACAAAGGGACGAAGCUAGGUAGAUACCUUGUACUUCUGGAAAUCUGUGCACUAAUGAGGUUUUUCUGCAUGGGCAAUUUUGGAAAAGUUCUGUUUCUGUAUACAGUUUUACAAGCUAGGCAAAACCUUUUCUUGAUGUUCCACCAGAGAAUUGAUUAAAAUGCCUCAAUUUGAAAGAUUUCUGAGGAAUAUGUAAAUAUACAGAAACAUAAGUGUUUAUCAAGGGUGUUUUAAAGUCCACAGUACACAGCAUACAGGUACAACUCUCGGGGGACAGAGCCAUUUUCUUCUCCAAGAGAUGUUUGUAUGGUAGCCACCAGCCUCUGGAGCGGCCAGGGCUGCUCUGAAGGUCAGCACUGACCCACACCUGGUAAAGAUCUGCCCCUCCGUUUCUGAUGACUGAAUAGACCUUUUAAAUAGAAAAUAUUAGGAUGUCUUCAACAAAUGAGCUGGAAUAACAGAGGAAGAGUCUUCGUUUUUGUCUCUGGUGUUCCUUGAACCUCUCCUAACGCAGAGGUAAGUGGUGAAUUGUACGAGGCUUGGCCAAAAGAGGGGCAGGAGAGAUAAAGUGUCUCUGCGCGAGGCCCAUCAGCUGCAGGCCGUCUGCUCAGAGGCACGCUCAAAUUAAGGACCUCUGCGGCAUUUCUUCCUCGUGCAUCUCUCAACCAGGGUUUGUCCCUUCCAGGCAAGUACAGUCCGUGAUGUUUCUGCUGACAGAGAACAAUUUUACACCCAUCUGUUCAAGCAGCAAGAGACCUUUCUUAUCACUUUGUAAGUCAGCAAGAAUGACUUUGUUUUGCUCUUUUUCCUUCCUUUCCUUGCCCAUUUCGGGGUUUAGGUUUACAUUUUGUUUAAAUUUUUAGGGGUUUUGUAACCUACCCUCUAGAUUGCUGGUUUGUGCUCUUCCAUGUCAUGCAGCGGUGAAUACCUGUUCUGGCCAUCACCUCUUUUUACUGUUCUGGUUUUUUUUGGGUUUUUUUUUUUUUUUUUUUUUAAGGAGGAUUGGGUUUCUUACUUUUUCUGACUUUUUUAAUCUGCUUUUCAGUAAUGUCUUUUUUGCCUUUCUGCACAAUUUUUGUCUGAGCUUUUCAAUAGCUCUUCAUGAAAUAUCAUUAAUCUGGACUUGAUUCUUUGGCAACUUUACCUAAACAUUCCAUGAUGGGAUUGAACAAAACACGUUCAUUGAGGGAUUACAGCGGGAGGAACUUUUGCUAUUGUUUAUGGUUUACCUGUUCUUUGGAGAAAACACUUUCAUCUCCAGCACCAUCAGACUUUUAUAAACACUGACUCUGUUAAUGAGAGUGAGAAAAGAAAUUGCGUUUGUGCCAACAGUGGGAAGGAAAUAUGUAAUUUCUCCAUUAGUCUAUCAGGUUAGCUCAUGUAAACAACAUGAUUAAAUUUGUCUGUGUGCAUCGUGCUAUAUAAAGAAUAAUGAUAAUUAAAAAACCGUGCAAGGCCCAAAGAUAACAAGAUUACGUUGGGGAAGAGCUAGGAGGGGGAUGGCAGCAUUGAAACAAACAGCGAUAGGCUUAAUUCAUCAGCGCGAGAGCCGGUCUGGACGUCGGUGCCCGCGGUGCCGUUCGGGGCUGGCAGAUGGAGGCAGACCCAAA